rnacentral:rRNA from 1 species
AAGUCGUAACAAGGUCUCCGUUGGUGAACCAGCGGAGGGAUCAUUACCGAGUUUACAACUCCCAAACCCAUGUGAACAUACCUACUGUUGCUUCGGCGGGAUUGCCCCGGGCGCCUCGUGUGCCCCGGACCAGGCGCCCGCCCAGGAAACUUAAUUCUUGUUUUAUUUUGGAAUCUUCUGAGUAGUUUUUACAAAUAAAUAAAAACUUUCAACAACGGAUCUCUUGGUUCUGGCAUCGAUGAAGAACGCAGCGAAAUGCGAUAAGUAAUGUGAAUUGCAGAAUUCAGUGAAUCAUCGAAUCCUUGAACGCACAUUGCGCCCGCCAGUAUUCUGGCGGGCAUGCCUGUCUGAGCGUCAUUUCAACCCUCAUGCCCCUAGGGCGUGGUGUUGGGGAUCGGCCAAAGCCCGCGAGGGACGGCCGGCCCCUAAAUCUAGUGGCGGACCCGUCGUGGCCUCCUCUGCGAAGUAGUGAUAUUCCGCAUCGGAGAGCGACGAGCCCCUGCUGUUAAACCCCCAACUUUCCAAGGUUGACCUCAGAUCAGGUAGGAAUACCCGCUGAACUUAA